rnacentral:rRNA from 1 species
UACGUAGGUGACAAGCGUUGUCCGGAUUUACUGGGCGUAAAGAGCGCGCAGGCGGUCGAUCAAGUCGAGUGUGAAAGCCCCCGGCUCAACUGGGGAGGGUCAUUCGAUACUGAUCGACUCGAAGGCAGGAGAGGGUAGUGGAAUUCCCGGUGUAGUGGUGAAAUGCGUAGAUAUCGGGAGGAACACCAGUGGCGAAGGCGACUAUCUGGCCUGUUCUUGACGCUGAGGCGCGAAAGCUAGGGGAGCAAACGGG